AAGUCGUAACAAGGUAACCGUAGGUGAACCUGCGGUUGGAUCAUUAGUGGAUCGUGGUUCAGGGUAUCCAGUGUGAGCACCGCAGGUGCUCCUGGAUGUCCUGAAUAUGCGCACCCAUCAUUGUGCACUACUGCUGUCUCUGGCGGUCGCAAGGUUGGCCCGGCGAGGGUCUCCUUCUAGUUCAUGGGCGAGCGUUUUGCGCCGACGCCGAUGGAUGAAGCCGCCAACUGCAUUUGAUGCAGCUCUUUGUUUUCGACACAAUGAAGCAUUUAAUCAUUUGACUGAAGUGUUUGAUUUGAGAAAAUCCAGAAUGUGCAAAACAACUUUUGGCAACGGAUCUCUUGGCUCUC
rnacentral:misc_RNA from 1 species